UUUUUUUUUUUGCAAGAGAGGUUGGGAACCACACUUCAAACAAAAAUAAGUUGGUAAAGACUUCAGAUAAGUAUGAAAAAAAAUUACAAGUAUUUCAGAAAUUUUAUGAUUAAGAAUUUUUUUAGCUACAAUAACAAAAUAUUUCUACUUUAAAAAAAAUUUACUAAAUUAAAGCACACAUUCUACAUGUUCUGCACAAGACAAAGGCAACAUUUUACUAAAAAUACUUAAUAGCCCCCUCCCACUCUUUUUGCAGGCCCUCCCUGUAAGUUGCACCCCAAAGUGCAAACAUUAAAAUUAACUGUAAGGCUUUUUUUGUCUGGAGACAUUAAAGACGUGUGCUUCUGUACAAUGUAGAUUUUCAAAAUGGAGGUCUUCUGUGACAGCACAAAAUUAAGUUUACAGAAAGACAUUAAAUAAUCACUGUAAGACUUGGUUAAUAAAAAGGAAAAAAAAGAGCAAAUCUUGAUGUGUACUGGUAUGAAUGUGGGAGAUGUAAAUAUCCUGUGAACAAAUAACCACAUAGGCCCUCCUUUUUAUGUUUGAAAUGAUGGAAGAAAUAAACCGCAGUCCAGAGUGUUCAUAGUUCCUGGGAUUUUAGUUCUAUAUGACACUAAAAAUAUACAAGUAUUGUGCUGGGUAUUUUGGCACCUAGUCUUUCUAAAUUUCUUAUUGAUAAGAUUGUGGCAUGGAAACAGAUUUGAAGAUGUUAACUCAAUACUGCAUGAUUUCAGGAAAGGUCAAUUGGUACAAAUGCUAAGCACAUUUUAAAUGCUGAACAGCAAGAACCCUCUGCUAAAUGUCCAAAUAGGUUGAUCAUAACUCAAACAUAGAGGUUGCAAAUUCUACCAGGCUUGUGGCCUGGUAAAACUGCUUUUCAACACUCCUAUGGAAGCUUCAUUAAACUUAUUCACCAAGCCAAUGUGUUGGCUAAUAUGUAUGACAAAUUCAGCACAUCUCAAGUUCCACUUCCAAACAAUGACAUCAGGCAUCUCAGUGUUAUUGAAUGCAACAGUUGUUUCUAUGACCAUCAGAGUCUUUGAAGCACAGCCACAUUUUAGGAUGAUACUUCUCUAAACACAAAAGUCAUUUGCUGUUAAAAGCUUCACGCUGCUUUCAUCUUAUGAACUAUACUGCAUCUUCAUAUUUCCUUCCACCUUCAAUUAAUGCUAAGGAGACAAGCACUGGGGCUCUCUCAAGGCCUGCAACACAAUGAACAGCAAUACAAUAACCAGGAUCUUCACCAAACUUAAUUUUCACAAGAUUUAACCAGUCAUCAACAAUCUGGUUAGAUGGUGGUACACCAUCUUCAAAUGGCCGAUCAAGUAUAUGGAUGCCUUCUUUCUCCACAAGAGUAGUGUCAUAAAUUGCUUCAGAUACUCUUACUAUUGUGGUAACCCCAUACUUCUUAAGUUACUCUAUAAAUUUGUUGAAGGUUGCAUUAGUUGGAUUGUGUGUAAUAAGAAAUCUCAUGUUCUUGUAUGUGACUUCCACAGGAGAUGGGUGGUUCAUUCGAGCCAUGUUAAUUUAGUUUAAAAAAACUCAAUAGGGUUAUGAAAAAAAAUUUAAAAACUGAAUACAGAAAUGAUGCAAAGAAACUGAGUCUACUUCAAUACACUCCACUUGAAAUUCUCAGUGCUUCUGAGUAUGAAGUGGGGAGUAAUGGGAAAUGAAAUGAACCUCCUAACAAGAAGCAGAAACUUUUCAGUCCAGUAUUACUGAGGCAAUAGAAAGGGAGUGCACUGAGCUUUACCCCCUCCAGGUCAGAACUCUUGUAAAAAAUGCUCUGCGGAUUUUAACUCAACACUUAUGUGUCCAGGUUAACCACUCUUAUGGGGGCUUCUUGGUGGAGUAGGCACAGGUCAUGCUGUGCCUGGCAGUAAUCUCCAGUGCCCUUCAGAAACUCCACAAAUGUGUGACCAAGAACACUACAGAAAGGAGUAUGUCUACUCAUUGAAGAUUGUGGCUUAAGCAUACAGCUGGUCCCGAGGCAGUGGCAACACAGGUGGCAGUGGCAGGGCAGGGGUGGUGGUGGUCAUUGAGGGGCGGUGGCAGCUUCACAGGAGGUAGCAAGGGCAGUGGACUUGAUCCUGCAGCCAGCAGCUCCAAGGAGAGCCUAUUUCCUUCUUUUCUACUGCAUUUCUUAAAACUUGCUGGUUACCCCUGUCUAAACAGAUUUCCUAGCCCCACUAAUGACUUACAUACAACCCAAAGUUUUAAAAGGCUAAACUAGGACAAACUUCAGCCAACUAGAGGUAUAAAAAGUGUCCUUUAAUAGAAGUAGGUAAAAUAAUAGAGGUCUAAGUAUUUUUAAAGAUUUAAAAGUAAACAGUAAUAGAAAAACUAAAUGUUUAGUAGAACAUAGAAAAGGAAAAUAACAAUGUUUAUAAUGUGGAGUCAACAAUAAGGAAAUACAGUAUUUCUAGAAGAAAUUGAAGCAACAACACAUAAAAUAAAGUGCAAAAAAAACACAGAAAUUAAACUACAAAUUAAAAAGUUAUAAGAAAACCUAAGAACUGAAAGCAUAAUACAGCAGAACUAAGACAAAACAUACCUACAAGGGCAAAGAUUAAAUCUCAGAGCUAAACCUAACUACUUGUCACCAAAGGAGACACAUCUACAACUGACAUUAAAAGCCAUCAAAGAUAUGUCAAGCAAAUAAAAACAGGGGACUCAAUUUCAGUUUUGAACCACUCUGGAUUCAGGGCCAGAGACAUUAAAUGAAUGGAAGGAAGGGACUCUAAAGUAGUACAAAUACAUAAUUCAUAGUGCAAACCCAAGUCAUGAAUAUCUCGGACUGAAAAAUCAUAACACUAAAAUUAUCAAAACAAAAAAGACAAGAACUAUAAUGUGAAGCUUGCUAUAAAAGAAGACUAAUUCACCUCUCUCUGAGUCUAAUUCACAUCAAAUGGACUGAAAUAAAUAAGGAU
rnacentral:lncRNA from 1 species